CAAUAGCGUAUAUUAAAGUUGUUGCAGUUAAAAAGCUCGUAGUUGGAUUUCUGGAUCGAACGCUUCGUCCGCCGCUGUGCGGUGUGUACUGAGGUUUUGUUUCGAUUCAUCCUUGCAGGGAAGCGAGUUCGAGAUUAAUUUGUCGGCUCGGGGAACUGCAUCUUUUGCUGUGAAAAAAUUAGAGUGUUUAAAGCAGGCAUUUUGCUGUGAAUACAUUAGCAUGGAAUAAUAACAUAGGACUUUGGUUCUAUUUUGUUGGUUGGAGGCCAAGGCAAUGAUUAAUAGGGACAGUUGGGGGUAUUCAUAUUUAAUUGUCAGAGGUGAAAUUCUUGGAUUUAUGAAAGAUGAACUCAUGCGAAAGCAUUUACCAAGGAUGUUUUCAUUAA
rnacentral:rRNA from 1 species